rnacentral:piRNA from 1 species
UAGUUGAGUCACAUAGUACAAAGCAUGGU